rnacentral:lncRNA from 1 species
AAACCUAAACCUAAUCCCCUCUCGUGUCUCUCUCAUGACUCACGCAGCCGCUCUCCGGCCCCCGCCUCUCCCUCGUCCGCUCCACUUUGCUUGACGGCUCCGCCCCCCAAUCCGAGGCAUACGUCGGUGAGCCUGUGCCAGCCGUCGACGGAUCUGACACUCUGGUGACCGGUGCUCUAACCCUCCUCUCCUAUCCCUUCAGUGACCCUUUCUGUAACCCUAAUCCUCGAUCUGGUCGCUCUGGUAUUAUUGUCUCCGCUCCUCUCGUUGCGUCGUUUCCUCGUCGGUCGUGUAGCCUCAUUGGUGGAUCUGGUGCUCUGGCAUGUAGGUAUGAUCUAGUAACCCUAAUCCUCGAUUUUGUUUGUUGUUCCUGAGUUCUUCAUUUCCCACUGAUUCCCUCUCCUCUCUGCCGGUCUUCUACCUUGUAGACGACGUUGGCCAUCAGGUUGGUGCCGCCCGCCGUGAGCAGCCGGAGACGUCGGCGAGGUGAUGGGUUGGCUGGCUGACGGCUAGUGUGUUG